UAUACACUAUAUUAUGUUACCAAGGCAUCCUAAUAUAUCAGCAACUUUACCAUGGGACGCGAUAUGUGUUUGUUUCACAGGAUGUCAGUCGGAUCCCAUGAUAGUGCCAGCGCCACUCAACACCUCCUGGGACGGUGAUAACAGGGCCUUCGGUACACAGGUCAGUGAGAGAAGUUGUUGUUGUCUCAGUGAUUGGUGACCUGAGGGGUAAUUAUGGUAAGAAUAUGAAGAAUUACGGCACCUUAGUGUAUCGAUGAGUAAGUGAAGGUGAUCGAGUGUAGUGCCAGAGUUUAUUGUCUUCACAGUUUUACUUCCUGGACAAACUGAUCCCUUGUUAUAUUCAGGGAUAAUCUCCGAGGCAUCACUCUCACUCUAGGUGGAGUUGUCGUGUCCAGCUGGCCAGGUGUUGCCGGACCUCAACGCCUCCGCCACCAUCACCUGUGGGGAGGACGGCGCCUGGACCAACGUCUCCCAGGACUACCUAUUAUGUAGGACAGUUGCCCCGACUCCCUCACCACCUCCUGAGGGCGCCUUCAUUGAGGGCCCCGACCCGCCCUACUGGGUGGGGACGACCCUUACCUAUACAUGUACGCCACCGAGGAUGUCACCGACGGGCGCCACCAACAUCUCCAUCACCUGUCAGGAGGACGGCUGGCCAUCCCUCGACCCAGCCUUCACCUGUCUCAAAGUGUGCAGCUCAGAGCCCCCCGCAGCACCGCCGAGUUCGAGCAGCAACUACAGCGGGCGCCUGGUGGAGUGGGGGCAGGUGGUCGAGUACACCUGUGACGGUAACGGCACCUUCCUCAGCUUCGGCCCCUCCAUCACCACCACCUGUGUCUCUGGCAGCUGGUCAUUAAAGUACCUUCCCAUCUGUCAAGGUGAGACACACACACCUAUGUAUAUAUGAGAUAUUGAGAAAUAAAUAGAUUAAUGAGGAAUGCAUUAGUGAAUAUAUGAAAUUAAUUGCAUAUAAAUAUAUUAUAAUCAAUACACAAGCUUCUC